rnacentral:rRNA from 1 species
AGAUAGGGCUUCUCCUUCGGGAGCAGAGUGACAGGUGGUGCAUGGUUGUCGUCAGCUCGUGUCGUGAGAUGUUGGGUUAAGUCCCGCAACGAGCGCAACCCUUGAUCUUAGUUGCCAUCAUUAAGUUGGGCACUCUAAGGUGACUGCCGGUGACAAACCGGAGGAAGGUGGGGAUGACGUCAAAUCAUCAUGCCCCUUAUGACCUGGGCUACACACGUGCUACAAUGGACGGUACAAAGAGCUGCAAGACCGCGAGGUGGAGCUAAUCUCAUAAAACCGUUCUCAGUUCGGAUUGUAGGCUGCAACUCGCC